AGAGCGCAGCGCUCCAGAGGACUGCGUCACCCAUUAGCGGCCUUUGUGCAGGCCUUAACGACCCUUCACGACCUUCCUGCGGCGUCAGAAGAGAGCAGAGCGCAGGCCGCGGGACCGAGCCUGCCUGACCAGCUACUGCUGGUGUGGAUACCUCUGCCGACAUCGUGCAGCAACAUUGCUAUGAAAGCUGGUGCAGUCUCCUGCCUGGGUAAAGCUUUGCAGUGAGGAGACAGUUACCCCAUUCUGGUCAGGCCCUUCGGACAGUAUUGUGGGAACAACAGAUGACCUCCAAGCUUCACAUUCACACGUGCAGAGCCAGGGAACUGACUAUGAUUGCACUGAUAAGAUAGCUGUUGAACCACUAUCCACAGCCUCAGGCAAAAGGGGCUCGCAGGAUUGCCAGCAAUCAGCCUCACUCAACUACCAUCUCACUCCAAAUGAGAAAGGGAGACCAGAACACAGCAAUUAAAUUCUAGACACGGCAAAGGCAGAAGUCAACAGCAGGAUUUGAAGAGAUGGAACUUGAAGUCAAACGAUAGCUGCAAGAAGCAGAUUUGAGAUCUGAAAGGAGAUCUCAGACGUGUUCGGUUUCAGAGCACUCUGCAAUACUCAUUGUUUUCUCUAAGGACCUGGGAAAUAAUGGAUUCAAGAAUACAAAGAAAACAGCAGCUUGAGGGUUUUCUAUUCAAAACACAAUUGCAGAGGACUUUUUUGUCUGGAAAAGAGUCAACACCACUGAAGUCAAGUGAGCUACACGGACGUGAAAGCAAUCAAGCUAGCAGAUUAAAUCCCUGGUCUGGUGUAACAUUAGUGCAAAGGGAUUUUGUGUCAGCUCCUGCUGUUAACAUGAAGAUGGAACAGAGAGGUGGUUCUCCUGCUCGUUGUCCAGUGACCGUGUUCCUCAGGUGUGAUGUAUGGAACUAGUGACCUUCCUGAACACAAAUGCUUUCAACGUUUCUGCCU